rnacentral:rRNA from 1 species
GACGAACGCUGGCGGCGUGCUUAACACAUGCCAGUCGAACGGAAAGGCCCUGCUUUUGUGGGGUGCUCGAGUGGCGAACGGGUGAGUAACACGUGAGUAACCUGCCCUUGACCUUGGGAUAACUUCAGGAAACUGGGGCUAAUACCGGAUAGGAGCUCCUGCUGCAUGGUGGGGGUUGGAAAGUUUCGGCGGUUGGGGAUGGACUCGCGGCUUAUCAGCUUGUUGGUGGGGUAGUGGCUUACCAAGGCUUUGACGGGUAGCCGGCCUGAGAGGGUGACCGGCCACAUUGGGACUGAGAUACGGCCCAGACUCCUACGGGAGGCAGCAGUGGGGAAUAUUGCACAAUGGGCGGAAGCCUGAUGCAGCAACGCCGCGUGCGGGAUGACGGCCUUCGGGUUGUAAACCGCUUUCGCCUGUGACGAAGCGUGAGUGACGGUAAUGGGUAAAGAAGCACCGGCUAACUACGUG